ACUAUUCUUUUCUUGGAGUUGCACUGGUGUCCAAUGAGUAUGUAAUGCAGGCAGUACUGCUAACAUCUACAUAACACACGCGCAUAACUAGAACUUGGCUUUACCUUCAUGCAAUUUUGAAAAA
ensembl:snRNA